rnacentral:rRNA from 1 species
CCUUACUGCUCAGUAACACGUGGAUAACCUGCCCUUGGGUCCGGCAUAACCCCGGGAAACUGGGGAUAAUUCCGGAUAACGCAUAUAUGCUGGAAUGCUUUAUGCGUCAAAUGGAUUCGUCUGCCCAAGGAUGGAUCUGCGGCCUAUCAGGUAGUAGUGGGUGUAAUGUACCUACUAGCCAACAACGGGUACGGGUUGUGAGAGCAAGAGCCCGGAGAUGGAUUCUGAGACAUGAAUCCAGGCCCUACGGGGUGCAGCAGGCGCGAAAACUUUACAAUGCGGGAAACCGUGAUAAGGGGACACCGAGUGCUAGCAUCAUAUGCUGGCUGUCCAGGUGUGUAAACUACACCUGUUAGCAAGGGCCGGGCAAGACCGGUGCCAGCCGCCGCGGUAACACCGGCGGCCCGAGUGGUGAUCGUGAUUAUUGGGUCUAAAGGGUCCGUAGCCGGUUUGGUCAGUCUUCCGGGAAAUCUGAUAGCUUAACUAUUAGGCUUUCGGGGGAUACUGCCAGGCUUGGAACCGGGAGAGGUAAGAGGUACUACAGGGGUAGGAGUGAAAUCUUGUAAUCCCUGUGGGACCACCUGUGGCGAAGGCGUCUUACCAGAACGGGUUCGACGGUGAGGGACGAAAGCUGGGGGCACGAACCGGAUUAGAUACCCGGGUAGUCCCAGCCGUAAACGAUGCUCGCUAGGUGUCAGGCAUGGCGCGACCGUGUCUGGUGCCGCAGGGAAGCCGUGAAGCGAGCCACCUGGGAAGUACGGCCGCAAGGCUGAAACUUAAAGGAAUUGGCGGGGGAGCAC